AGAAAGCAAGUUGCAACAGUUCUGAACCGUUGGUCUCGUGGCAAGUUGUCGGGUGCUUCCAAGAGCUAGUGAGGAUGAAGAAGUUCCCGUCGUGAUUAGCGAGAUUGCAGGUAGCGUAUAGGAUGGUUAUGUUCAGCAUUGCAGAAACCUUUGUUAAAUUCAUUCAUCAGAAAGAUGCUUGCAUUGCCAUGUAUAUGAUAAAAGAAAUGUAUUUUAUGGGAGCUCCAGUCUACACAGUUCGCGAUAACUUUAUAAGCAAUAUAUAUAGCUUUCAUGG